AUUGAACGCUGGCGGCAUGCCUUACACAUGCAAGUCGAACGGUAACAGGUCUUCGGAUGCUGACGAGUGGCGAACGGGUGAGUAAUACAUCGGAACGUGCCCGAGAGUGGGGGAUAACGAAGCGAAAGCUUUGCUAAUACCGCAUACGAUCUCAGGAUGAAAGCAGGGGACCGCAAGGCCUUGCGCUCACGGAGCGGCCGAUGGCAGAGUAGGUAGUUGGUGGGAUAAAAGCUUACCAUGCCGACGAUCUGUAGCUGGUCUGAGAGGACGACCAGCCACACUGGGACUGAGACACGGCCCAGACUCCUACGGGAGGCAGCAGUGGGGAAUUUUGGACAAUGGGCGCAAGCCUGAUCCAGCCAUGCCGCGUGCAGGAUGAAGGCCUUCGGGUUGUAAACUGCUUUUGUACGGAACGAAAAGACUCCUUCUAAUAAAGGGGGUCCAUGACGGUACCGUAAGAAUAAGCACCGGCUAACUACGUGCCAGCCGCCGCGGUAAGAC
rnacentral:rRNA from 1 species